UACAGAGGCCCCAACCAUUACCCGGAAUCACUGGGCGUAAAGGGUGUCCAGGCGGUCGUGUUAGUCGUUUGUUAAAUCUCUGGGCCUAACCUAGAGACCGCGAGCGAAACGGCACGACUAGAGAGCGCGAGAGGUAGAGGGAACUCACGGUGGAGGGGUGAAAUCCGUUGAUAUCGUGGGGAACACCAAAGGCGAAGGCACUCUACUGGCGCGUUUCUGACGCUCACACACGAAAGCCAGGGGAGAGAACGGG
rnacentral:rRNA from 1 species